rnacentral:rRNA from 1 species
GACGAACGCUGGCGGCGUGCCUAACACAUGCAAGUCGAACGGAAAGGCCCUGCUUUUGUGGGGUGCUCGAGUGGCGAACGGGUGAGUAACACGUGAGUAACCUGCCCUUGACUUUGGGAGAACUUCAGGAAACUGGGGCUAAUACCGGAUAGGAGCUCCUGCUGCACGGUGGGGGUUGGAAAGUUUCGGCGGUUGGGGAUGGACUCGCGGCUUAUCAGCUUGUUGGUGGGGUAGUGGCAUACCAAGGCUUUGACGGGUAGCCGGCCUGAGAGGGUGACCGGCCACAAUGGGACUGAGGUACGGCCCAGACUCCUACGGGAGGCAACAGGGGAGAAUAUUGCGCAAUAAGCAGAAGCCUGAUACAGAGACGCCGCGUGCGGGAUGACGGCCUUCGGGUUAUGAACCGCUUUCGCCUGUGACGAAGCGUGAGUGACGGUAAUGGGUAAAGAAGCACCGGCUAACUACGUG